CAGGGAAUAUUGCGCAAUGGGUGAAAGCCUGACGCAGCAACGCCGCGUGGGGGAUGACGGCUUUCGAGUUGUAAACCCCUUUUCUUGGGGAAGAUAAUGACGGUACUCAAGGAAUAAGUCUCGGCUAACUACGUG
rnacentral:rRNA from 1 species